rnacentral:rRNA from 1 species
GUGGGGAAUAUUGCGCAAUGGGGGAAACCCUGACGCAGCAACGCCGCGUGAUUGAAGAAGGCCUUCGGGUUGUAAAGAUCUUUAAUUGGGGACGAAAUAAAUGACGGUACCCAAAGAAUAAGCUCCGGCUAACUACGUGCCAGCAGCCGCGGUAAUACGUAGGGAGCAAGCGUUAUCCGGAUUUACUGGGUGUAAAGGGCGAGUAGGCGGUCCAUUAAGUGUGCGGUGAAAUUCGGAGGCUCAACCUCCGUCCCGCCGCGCAAACUGAUGGUCUUGAGAUUGGGAGGGGGAUGCGGAAUUCCUGGUGUAGCGGUGAAAUGCAUUGAUAUCAGGAGGAACACCGGCGGCGAAAGCGGCAUCCUGGCUUAUAUCUGACGCUGAGGCGCGAAAGCGUGGGUAGCAAACGGGAUUAGAUACCCUAGUAGUCC